rnacentral:tRNA from 1 species
GCAGUCGUGUUCGAGUGGUUAAGGUGAUGGACUAGAAAUCCAUUGGGGUUUCCCCGCACAGGUUCGAAUCCUGUCGACUGCG